GACGAACGCUGGCGGCGUGCUUAACACAUGCAAGUCGAACGGAAAGGCCCUGCUUUUGUAGGGUGCUCGAGUGGCGAACGGGUGAGUAACACGUGAGUAACCUGCCCUUGACUUUGGGAUAACUUCAGGAAACUGGGGCUAAUACCGGAUAGGAGCUCCUGCUGCAUGGUGGGGGUUGGAAAGUUUCGGCGGUUGGGGAUGGACUCGCGGCUUAUCAGCUUGUUGGUGGGGUAGUGGCUUACCAAGGCUUUGACGGGUAGCCGGCCUGAGAGGGUGACCGGCCACAAUGGGACUGAGAUACGGACCAGACUCCUACGGGAGGCAGCAGUGGGGAAUAUGGCACAGUGGGCGGAAGCCUGAUACAGCAACGCCGCGGGCGGAAUGACGGCCUUCUGGUUGUAAACCGCUUUCGCCUAUGACGAAGCGUGAGUGACGGUAAUGGGUAAAGAAGCACCGGCUAACUACGUG
rnacentral:rRNA from 1 species